rnacentral:rRNA from 1 species
GUGGGGAAUAUUGGACAAUGGGGGGAACCCUGAUCCAGCCAUGCCGCGUGUGUGAAGAAGGCCUUUUGGUUGUAAAGCACUUUAAGCGAGGAGGAGGCUACCGAGAUUAAUACUCUUGGAUAGUGGACGUUACUCGCAGAAUAAGCACCGGCUAACUCUGUGCCAGCAGCCGCGGUAAUACAGAGGGUGCAAGCGUUAAUCAGAUUUACUGGGCGUAAAGCGCGCGUAGGUGGCCAAUUAAGUCAAAUGUGAAAUCCCCGAGCUUAACUUGGGAAUUGCAUUCGAUACUGGUUGGCUAGAGUAUGGGAGAGGAUGGUAGAAUUCCAGGUGUAGCGGUGAAAUGCGUAGAGAUCUGGAGGAAUACCGAUGGCGAAGGCAGCCAUCUGGCCUAAUACUGACACUGAGGUGCGAAAGCAUGGGGAGCAAACAGGAUUAGAAACCCCUGUAGUCC